rnacentral:lncRNA from 1 species
CCAUUGCAAAAACAAUUGGUCCUCUAAAAUUCAGAAUUAGUUUGAGUAUAUCCUGUUAAUGUUGAUUUUAUAAGAGAAACUGUAAUAUAUAAAAUUAGCCAUCUGUAAAAUAUUUAGUGCAAGAUUAGUAAAUUAUAAAUGUUAACAAAACUUAAAUGAAUAUAUCAAAAUUUUCUGAAAUUCUGUGAUUAUUAGAAGAAAAGAAGUCUUUUUCUCCUAAUAAUAAACUCAUCAAAAGUAUAUCUGCAAGAGGGCUCCCAAUUAGCACAUGUUUCUUCUAGAGGAAUUGCCUUACCAGUUUACUCUUACCAGCUUUUAAAACAGAAUUAUGCCUUAUAAAAGAUAUGUGGAUGAUAUCAUAAUUAUCAAAGGAGAAUUUAGGACUAGUAAAAGAUGUAAAAUAUCUUCCAUCAGAUCAACAGCUGGGAUUAUGUUUAAAGAAACAAAAGCAAAUGACUUAGAAAUAAAAUACUUUGGUUUGAAAAUUAAAAUCAUUGAUGGAGAGUAUAUGAAGAAUGCUUUUAGAAAAAGCACCUAUGUUUUUUGUUUAUUAAGAAUACAGUGAAAAGAUACAAAAUGGCUGCCUUCAAUAUACUCCUAUAUAGAAUUCUUACACACUGCAACAACCAACAAAUGAUACAGCAAGAGCUAGCAUGGAUUUUAGAACAAGUGUAAAUAUAUGGAUAUAAAAGGAAGCACAUAUUAAAAUGAUGGGCAAAGAUUAAAUCAAAAGGUCCCAUAACAAGAUUGUUAAAGAAUGAAGAUGAUCAAAAAAUGGACACAGUACUGUAUAUUAUUGACAUUAACCCAUCUCCUUGAAAUACAAGAAAAAUAUUAGAAAAUCAUUCCAGGAAAAAUUAAUGUUUAGUAGAAAGACUAACUUAUUUAAUACAUUAAGAAACAAUAAUGAUCAUAUAAAACAGGAAAAGAAGUUAGAUGUUUAUCAAAUUCCUGUUAUGAAUAAUGAUACUGGAUAGGAAGAAGUCUAUUUAGGAUAUAUUUCAAGAUCAUUAGAGAGAAGAAUAUUAGGACAUAAGAAGGACAUUGAGCAUAAACAGUCAUAAUUCCUCAGCUUGAUUCAGCUUGGUUAUAAUGAUUUAGAACAGCAAUUUUCAACCUAUGGUAUGCACGAUGGACUUACAGGUG